CAAGCUUCCAAGAAAAGCCCUAUACCCGUUAAGGCAUGAUGGCCUGUACCCGAAACCGACACAGGUGGGGUGGUAGAGAAUACCGAGGGGCGCGAGGUAACUCUCUCUAAGGAACUCGGCAAAAUGGCCCCGUAACUUCGGGAGAAGGGGUGCCACCGCGAGGUGGUCGCAGUGAAGAGGCCCAGGCGACUGUUUACCAAAAACACAGGUCUCCGCUAAGUCGCAAGACGAUGUAUGGGGGCUGACGCCUGCCCAGUGCCGGAAGGUUAAGGAAGCUGGUCAGCGCAAGCGAAGCUGGCGACUGAAGCCCCGGUGAACGGCGGCCGUAACUAUAACGGUCCUAAGGUAGCGAAAUUCCUUGUCGGGUAAGUUCCGACCCGCACGAAAGGCGUAACGAUCUGGGCGCUGUCUCGGAGAGAGGCUCGGCGAAAUAGAAUUGUCUGUGAAGAUGCGGACUACGUGCACCCGGACAGAGAGACCCUAUGAAGCUUUACUGUAGCUUGGUAUUGUGCUCGGGCUCGGAAUGCGCAGGAUAGGUGGGAGGCUUUGAUCCAUUGCUUGCGGGUGAUGGUGAGCCACUGGUGAGAUACCACUCUUUCCGAGCUAGAGUUCUAACAGCAACCCGUUAUCCGGGUGCUGGACAGUAUCAGGUGGGCAGUUUGACUAGGGCGGUCGCCUCCUAAAAGGUAACGGAGGCGCGCAAAGGUCUGCUCAGGCUGGUUGGAAAUCAGCCGACGAGUGUAAAAGCAGAAGCAGGCUUGACUGUGAGACCUACAAGUCGAACAGGGAGGAAACUCGGCUUUAGUGAUCCGACGGUUCUGCGUGGAAGGGCCGUCGCUCAACGGAUAAAAGUUACUCUAGGAUAACAGGCUGAUCUCCCCCAAGAGUUCACAUCGACGGGGAGGUUUGGCACCUCGAUGUCGGCUCAUCGCAACCUGGGGCUGAAGUCGGUCCCAAGGGUUGGGCUGUUCGCCCAUUAAAGCGGUACGCGAGCUGGGUUCAGAACGUCGUGAGACAGUUCGGUCCAUAUCCGGUGCACGCGCAGGAAUAUUGAGAGGAUUUCUCUCUAGUACGAGAGGACCGGGAGGAACGCACCUCUGGUGUGCCAGUUAUCGUGCCAACGGUAAACGCUGGGUAGCCAUGUGCGGAGUGGAUAACCGCUGAAAGCAUCUAAGUGGGAAGCCCACCUCAAGAUGAGUAUUCCCAUGGCAUAAGCCAGUAAGGUCACGGGAAGAACACCCGUUGAUAGGCUCUACGUGGAAGCGCAGUAAUGUGUGAAGCGGAGGAGUACUAAUAGACCGAGGGCUUG
rnacentral:rRNA from 1 species